GUAAUGUCUGGGAAACUGCCUGAUGGAGGGGGAUAACUACUGGAAACGGUAGCUAAUACCGCAUAACGUCUCAAGACCAAAGAGGGGGACCUUCGGGCCUCUUGCCAUCGGAUGUGCCCAGAUGGGAUUAGCUAGUAGGUGGGGUAACGGCUCACCUAGGCGACGAUCCCUAGCUGGUCUGAGAGGAUGACCAGCCACACUGGAACUGAGACACGGUCCAGACUCCUACGGGAGGCAGCAGUGGGGAAUAUUGCACAAUGGGCGCAAGCCUGAUGCAGCCAUGCCGCGUGUAUGAAGAAGGCCUUCGGGUUGUAAAGUACUUUCAGCGGGGAGGAAGGGAGUAAAGUUAAU
rnacentral:rRNA from 1 species